rnacentral:rRNA from 1 species
GACGAACGCUGGCGGCGUGCUUAACACAUGCAAGUCGAACGGAAAGGCGCUGCUUUUGUGGGGUGCUCGAGUGGCGAACGGGUGAGUAACACGUGAGUAACCUGCCCUUGACUUUGGGAUAACUUCAGGAAACUGGGGCGAAUACCGGAUAGGAGCUCCUGCUGCAUGGUGGGGGUUGGAAAGUUUCGGCGGUUGGGGAUGGACUCGCGGGUUAUCAGCUUGUUGGUGGGGUAGUGGCUUACCAAGGCUUUGACGGGUAGCCGGCCUGAGAGGGUGACCGGCCACAUUGGGACUGAGAUACGGCGCAGACUCCUACGGGAGGCAGCAGUGGGGAAUAUUGCAGAAUGGGCGGAAGCCUGAUGCAGCAACGCCGCGUGCGGGAUGACGGCUUUCGGGUUGUAAACCGAUUUCGCCUGUGACGAAGCGUGAGUGACGGUAAUGGGUAAAGAAGCACCGGCUAACUACGUG